GGACGAACGCUGGCGGCGUGCCUAAUACAUGCAAGUCGAGCGGAUUUAUCCUUCGGGAUAAGUUAGCGGCGGACGGGUGAGUAACACGUAGGUAACCUGCCUAUAAGAUCGGGAUAACUAUCGGAAACGAUAGCUAAGACCGGAUAAUUGGUUUUCUCGCAUGAGAGAAUUAUGAAACACGGAGCAAUCUGUGGCUUAUAGAUGGGCCUGCGGCGCAUUAGCUAGUUGGUGAGGAACGGCUCACCAAGGCGACGAUGCGUAGCCGACCUGAGAGGGUGAACGGCCACACUGGGACUGAGACACGGCCCAGACUCCUACGGGAGGCAGCAGUAGGGAAUCUUCCGCAAUGGACGCAAGUCUGACGGAGCAACGCCGCGUGAGUGAUGAAGGUUUUCGGAUCGUAAAGCUCUGUUGCCCUAGACGAACAGCAAGGAGAGUAACUGCUCUUUGUGUGACGGUAUA
rnacentral:rRNA from 1 species